UUUCAAAUAUGUGUCUCUCUGAUUCAUUGCGGUCUCAUGAGAAACAUAACUGAGGCCUCUUUCAAUCUCAUUUUAAGAACCUUUUUGUACCUAAUAGACGAGCCCUAAAAAUCCUUCCUCCAAAAGUACCCAGAUUUAUAUCUCCUCAAACAAGACACUGUUUCUGUCGUAAAUCAGUACAGUAGUGCACAACAGAUCAAAUAUGAAAAAUGUGUA